rnacentral:misc_RNA from 1 species
UUUUAGCCCGGAUAAUAGUGAAAAGCCCGGAGCGGAAAAAACCUGUCUUUUGCCGGCAUAAAAAAGCGACUGCAGGAAGCUUAUUUUAUGGCGUGCAAAAACUGUUUUUUUGCGAGGACUUGAAACGGAUAGCCGGAAUAGCU